rnacentral:rRNA from 1 species
UACGAAGGGGGCUAGCGUUGCUCGGAAUCACUGGGCGUAAAGGGCGCGUAGGCGGUCAGCACAAGUCAGUUGUGAAAUCUCCGGGCUUAACUCGGAAAGGUCAACUGAUACUGUGCGACUAGAGUGCGGAAGGGGCAACUGGAAUUCUCGGUGUAGCGGUGAAAUGCGUAGAUAUCGAGAGGAACACCUGCGGCGAAGGCGGCUCUCUGGGACGGUACUGACGCUGAGACGCGAAAGCGUGGGGAGCGAACAGG